AUGCGUCACCUGACUCGAGAGACCCCCCUCCCCACCCCGGCUUUGGAGUGGGAAGUGAGGUGCGGGAAGUCCGUCGCUUUCUGAUGAAUUCAUUGGCUGUGGAAUUGGGACCGGGCUGGAAUCUGGUCCCUGGGGGCUGGUACUUGCACUUUAAACCCCCUUCUCUGGGGGCUGAUAGUUUGACGGAUUUGUCUGUCGCACGUGCACAUUCUGAGCACAGACUAGGAAUCCAGAAUCUAAGAAAGUAGAUUUGUUUCAAAUCAUCGUUUGGACAACUUGCAAGCUUCUGAUACAAAGCAUUUCAGGAAAAAUUGAACUGCAUACGCAGGUUGAAUUAGUUCUUAAUAAUGGGAAGAACAUACAUUGUAGAAGAGACUGUUGGCCAGUAUCUUUCAAACCUCAAUCUUCAAGGGAAGACUUUUGUCUCUGGUCUUUUAAUAGGGCAGUGUUCUUCACAAAAGGAUUAUGUGAUUCUUGCCACUAGAACGCCAGCCAAAGAGGAACAGAAUGAGAGCCCCAAACAUCCCAAAGCUAAGUUGGAUAACUUGGAUGAAGAAUGGGCCACAGAACAUGCCAACCAGGUAUCCAGAAUGCUUCCAGGGGGACUUUUAGUUCUUGGGGUAUUUAUUGUUACAACUUUAGAAAUGGGAAAUGAGUUUCAAAAUACCCUGCGAAGACUUGUAUUUGCUGUGGAAAAAUCUCUGAAUAAAAAGAGACUGUGGAAUUUCACAGAGGAGGAGGUCUCAGAACGAGUGACACUUCACAUUUGCUCUUCUACAAAAAAAAUACUUUGUCGAACUUAUGAUAUCCAUGAUCCGAAGAGUUCUGCAAAACCAGCAGAUUGGAAGUAUCAAAACGGACUAUCAGCUUCAUGGCUUUCUUUAGAGUGUACAGUUUAUAUUAAUAUUCACGUCCCACUGUCUGCUACUUCUGUCAGCUAUACUCUGGAGAAAAAUACAAAGAAUGGACUUGCACGCUGGGCCAAGCAAAUAGAAAAUGGUGUUUAUUUGAUUAAUGGACAAGUUAAAGAUGAAGAUUGUGAACUAUUAGAAGGACAGAAAAAAUCUUCUAGAGGAAAUACUCAAGCAACUAAUCAUUCUUUUGAUGUCAGAGUGCUCACACAGUUGGUUCUGAAUUCAGACCACAGGUCCACAGCCACAGUCCAGAUCUGCAGUGGCUCUGUAAACCUUAAGGGUGCUGUGAAGUGCAGAGCUUAUGUUCAUAGCAAUAAACCCAAGGUUAAGGAUGCUGUACAGGCCAUGAAGAGAGAUAUAUUGAAUACAGUUGCUGAUCGUUGUGAAAUACUAUUUGAAGAUCUGGUUUUGAAUGAAAUUCCAGAAAAAAAAGAUUCUGAAAAAGAGUUCCACAUCCUCCCUCACCGAGUUUUUGUCCCCAUUCCGGGAUCUGCUGUAAUGUUGUGUGAUUAUAAAUUUGGUGAUGAGUCAGCUGAAGAAAUAAGAGACCAUUUUAUAGAGAUGUUAGAUCAUAUGAUUCAAAUAGAAGAUUUGGAAAUUGCAGAGGAAGUAAACACAGCUUGUGUGAGUUCCUCUGUCAAUACUGAAGCCUCAUUGGAUAACACAGAUGAUGAACAACCAAAGCAGCCAAUUAAAACUACAGUAGUGUUGAAAAUUCAGCAAAAUAUAGAUUUCUGUGAAUUUGGCAAGAUCAUCUACUAUGAGUGAAGAAAGAGGAGACUAAAGAAGAUUUCAGACUUAUUGCAAAGAAUGGAAGAUCAACUCGACCAAACAAAUGUAGUACGAUUACCAGACACUGGUAAAGUCCCAUUUGAGGGACAUGAUCACUGCAUUCGUUGUUGGAGUUGUGAGACUUACUGAAGCUUUAUCAGGAUUCCAGUUGUCUAAUGGAGUAGGCCUUUGCCGAGACAGUAACAACACUCAAGAUUUCUGGUGCCACCUUCGUCAUUAAGAGUUGCUGAUUUAGAGGUGAGUCAACUUCUACAUUUUUAUAUCAUAAUGAGAGUUUUCUUUAAAAAUAAAUCUCUGAAACCUGUGUGGAACAUAGGACACACCAUCCUCAAAAUGGAUGUAACACAUCAGUGCUGAGCAAAUGCUUGGCUCUAAGCAAAUGUUCAUUUUCUUUCCUUUACAUAAAAAACCACACAUUGAUGCUAUUGACAACAUCCACAGUGUCUAAAGUUUAUAGCCAGAGCAGAACUGUGAUAGAAACUUGAUAAAAGACACUACAGAGCAGAUAGGAUGUUUUCUCAGCUUCUACCCUUCUCACAUAUUUUUGAUUUUUCAACAAAUGAGGCAGAGCAAGUGGGAGAUGUAGGGUGGCUUUUAAACAAUUUAUAUGUUAGGAAUGUAUAAUGAAUAACAGUCUUCUAUUUGUCAGCUAGUAUUAUCAGUAAAAAAUAUUCCGGGAAAGUAGGAGCUUUCAAAUUAUGAUUGAAUUGUUGCUACUAAUAAAUGAAGAAGAUAUUAACUUGUUCAGAUUGGCUCUUGCUACGUACAGAUAUUCUCUUACUUGUUCUGAAGAAAAUAGAAACAUCAGAAUCUUGCAGGAAAUUCAGAGCAGGUAUUGCAGAUGUUGUUUUGAAUGUCUCUGUAUCUUGUAAAAACACUAUUCCAGGACAUACUGUUUGAAUUCCAUUAUAGACAUCACAGAUGAUUACAUAUAUAUUUGACAGCAAUGUACAGAAUAUCAAAUCCAGUUUAUAAACAUAAUAUUUAGGCAAAUUGCCGUGGUGAAUUAGGUGAUCUCUUAAUUUUUUUCUAGCUUUAAUGUUAGAUGAUUCUGAGUAGUAUGUAUAAAUACAUACUUAAAAUGGGUAUUAUAGUUAAGAGCUAUUUUUUCAGUUAAUAAAAAUAUUUCAUGGCACAAGAACAGGAAAACCUUACUUCGUUCAUUUUCAUGAUGCAAGCUAUAAGUUUAUUAGUAAUAAUAAUCACCUCCAUAGGAGCAAAAUGCAAGAAAAAUAAAACCACUUGAAAGAAAAAUUUCACCUAAUUGAACGAAUAUCAACAAACUCCAUGUGUUUUCUUUUAAAAACAUUAUUUGUCUCAUUAAAAUUUUGAAGUAAUAUUUUGAAAUAGAUGUUAUUAUACUCACUUUAAAGAAAACAGAAAGAAAAAAGACAAAAAAAAACAAUACAAAAUAUAAUAUUAAGAAGAAAGCCCAAAAACUGGUUAAGUAUUUGGUUCAGAGGUCUGAGAAUGUUUUCUUGCUGAACCUAAUACUUCUCUUCACAGCUUGGGAGUUAAUUUUUCAAAUACGAAGUGCAAGGACUUAUCAUUUCUUUCCUUCAGUACUCCCUUCACUCAAAGUGAGUAGAUUUGUACAUUACAAAAUUAAUCCUCUAUUCAUGGUUUUAACUUUCUCAAAUAUCAGACUCCAAAUUACGUGCUUACUCUGAACUUACGUUAGUGAAGAUGACUAGUGCACACACAUCACUUUAAAAGGGAAAGAUACACAGUAUUUAAUUAUCUUUAUAGUAGACAAAUUUUACUUAAAGUUACUUUGAAAUAUUUUAAAAGAACACACAAUAAUAUAUAAACAGUGAAAACACUAUUUUUCCCCUAAGGUAAAAUUUCAAAAAUUAUGUUAUCAAGAAAACUGCCUGUAGACUCACAGUUUAAUUCUCUGUGCCUGGUGUCCUUGAUGGUGUUCAGCGAAUAAGAGUUGUUGUCCCCUGAACUCCUCCUGAAGUGGAACAGGUUUAAGCUCAGAUUUAAGAUCCUGGAUAUUGAUGACCCUUACAGAAAUAGUUCUGAACAAGUAAGAGGAUUGAGGUAAGAGAAUUAACAAGGCCUAUUCAUUAACAAUAAAGCAAAAACAAACAAAUAAAAUGAAAAAAAAAAAAAAAAAAAAA